GUUUGACCUCGGAUCAGGUAGGGAUACCCGCUGA
rnacentral:rRNA from 4 species